rnacentral:rRNA from 1 species
ACAGCAGUAGCCCGGUAAUACGUAGGUGGCAAGCGUUGUCCGGAAUUAUUGGGCGUAAAGGGCUCGCAGGCGGUUUCUUAAGUCUGAUGUGAAAGCCCCCGGCUCAACCGGGGAGGGUCAUUGGAAACUGGGAAACUUGAGUGCAGAAGAGGAGAGUGGAAUUCCACGUGUAGCGGUGAAAUGCGUAGAGAUGUGGAGGAACACCAGUGGCGAAGGCGACUCUCUGGUCUGUAACUGACGCUGAGGAGCGAAAGCGUGGGGAGCGAACAGGAUUAGAUACCCGUGUAGUCCCUGUCUCUUAUACA